AAGCCAUGUUGGUCAUCACCAAUCACCUCCUUAUUCUCUACACACUUUUCCAGGAGGAUCUGCUCCAUGAUCUUGCUGGGCACCAAUGUGAGACUUAUUGGCUUGUUCCCUGGGUCUCCCUUUUUUCCCUUUUAAAAAUUGGGUUAUGUUUUCUGUUUUUCAGCCAGUGGGAACUUCACCAGACUCCCAUGACUUCUCAAAUAUGUGGCUGAGCCACUUCAUCUGCCAGUUCCUCAGGACUUGAAGAUGCAUCCCAUUUGGUUGCAUGGACUUGUGCACCUUAUGGAAUUCAAGAGGUAUUAGGAGAGAAUUUGGAUGGCAGGAGAAUACCAACCUUUCCCCUGGAAUAAUGCACUGGCUGAGGCACCCAGUGUGACAUGAGAAAGUGCAGAGCCACCUGCCCUGCUUUGCUCCAUGAACAGCAGCCAGCAGCUCCUGGGGCCUGUUUAUCCAGUCGCCCCUAUUCUUACACAUUUUGGGUGGAAUAAAACAGACUCCAGAUACCAUCAGCUCCUGCUGUUGGGCAAAAGCCUGACUAAUGUUAUUUUGAUAAAAAAUAAAA